CACCCUCGACUUUCUCCCACGCCACUGCAACCCGGGCACAGCCAGGUGUGCACAGCUCCACUGGGCUUCUAGAGCCCAAACUGAGAUGGAAUAAAGAAAAUCAUGACCAAGCAGCGAAAGGCUGAGAUUCGAGCUGCAGGAUGCCGCUUCCAAGAAAUUUGAAUUUUGAUCUCUGACAAACAAGCCCUUCCAAAUUCAUCGGAGACUUCCCACGGCGAAGCUGCCAACUACGAGCAAGACAAAAAUGGCUCUGCUAAGCUUCGGGACUGCCGGAAAAUUAGAAACGUCGCUGGUGCAGAAGGCAACCAGCCUGCGGAAACCCGGAAAUGUCAAACAGGAUAAAAUCUGCUCCCAGGUGGAUAACAAGCAUUUCAACCGAGUGGGAGAUGCCACCUGGUAUUUCUCCUGGGAACGAAUCAGGUAUCAGUCAGCACUUCCCAAAUGCAAGUUCACCCAAUGCGGAUUCAUGGAUUUUAUAUCCUGAAGUCUUGCUUCAAGUUUCAGCAUUUUGGACAAGAUUUAAUAAAAAUUUUAAUCCAAUUUUUGUGCCAGGAAAGCCCGUAUAAAUCAACAGAAGCCCUGAAAAAUUGAAAAGGCACACUUUUUUAUUGAAUCCAUAAAUCUACUAAGAACCUAGUGCUUAAAGAGCAAUCCUGAGCAUGUGUGAGCGUG